rnacentral:tRNA from 1 species
GCUGGUGUGCCCAAACUGGUAAAGGGACUUGGCUUAGGACCAAGGGUUUGUGGGUUCGACUCCCACCACCAGUA